rnacentral:rRNA from 1 species
UACGUAGGGUGCAAGCGUUGUCCGGAAUUAUUGGGCGUAAAGAGCUCGUAGGCGGUUCGGCAAGUCACGUGUGAAAUCUCCACGCUCAACGUGGAGGCGCCACGUGAGACUGCUGUGACUCGAGUCCGGUAGGGGAGCGUGGAAUUCCCGGUGUAGCGGUGAAAUGCGCAGAGAUCGGGAGGAACACCCGUAGCGAAGGCGGCGCUCUGGGCCGGUACUGACGCUGAGGAGCGAAAGCGUGGGGAGCAAACAGG